GACGAACCGUGCGAACGUUAUUCGGAAUCACUGGGCUUAAAGCGCGUGUAGGCGGGCGUGUACGUCGGCCACUGAAAGCCCCCGGCUCAACUGGGGAGGGUCACGCGAUACUGCUCGACUUGAAGGCAGGAGAGGGAAGUGGAAUUCCCGGUGUAGUGGUGAAAUGCGUAGAUAUCGGGAGGAACACCAGUGGCGAAGGCGACUUCCUGGCCUGUUCUUGACGCUGAGGCGCGAAAGCUAGGGUAGCAAACGGG
rnacentral:rRNA from 1 species